rnacentral:rRNA from 1 species
UUUGAAGUGUGGACGCCAGUCUGCAUGGAGCCGACCUUGAAAUACCACCCUUUAAUGUUUGAUGUUCUAACGUGGACCCGUGAUCCGGGUUGCGGACAGUGUCUGGUGGGUAGUUUGACUGGGGCGGUCUCCUCCUAAAGAGUAACGGAGGAGCACGAAGGUUGGCUAAUCCUGGUCGGACAUCAGGAGGUUAGUGCAAUGGCAUAAGCCAGCUUGACUGCGAGCGUGACGGCGCGAGCAGGUGCGAAAGCAGGUCAUAGUGAUCCGGUGGUUCUGAAUGGAAGGGCCAUCGCUCAACGGAUAAAAGGUACUCCGGGGAUAACAGGCUGAUACCGCCCAAGAGUUCAUAUCGACGGCGGUGUUUGGCACCUCGAUGUCGGCUCAUCACAUCCUGGGGCUGAAGUAGGUCCCAAGGGUAUGGCUGUUCGCCAUUUAAAGUGGUACGCGAGCUGGGUUUAGAACGUCGUGAGACAGUUCGGUCCCUAUCUGCCGUGGGCGCUGGAGAACUGAGGGGGGCUGCUCCUAGUACGAGAGGACCGGAGUGGACGCAUCACUGGUGUUCGGGUUGUCAUGCCAAUGGCACUGCCCGGUAGCUAAAUGCGGAAGAGAUAAGUGCUGAAAGCAUCUAAGCACGAAACUUGCC